AGCAAAAACAAACCUUAAACUUAUACAAACUAAGGAAAAUUCUCACAGCGCACAGUAUUUCAUAAAAAAUCUUCCUAUCCACUCAAAAACCGCAAGGGCCAAUCUUUAGCCUUUUCAAGAAAUGGUAACACCAUGUCCCUUUUGCAUCAUGGAGAAGCAACAAAAUCAUAGCAAGCUAACCUCCCGAAUGACUAUGAGCUACUAACCCUUAAAAAUCAAUGUUUCAUAAUUGAUAAAUGUAACUCUUAGUAGAAGUAACAAGCCUUUCAUAUAGUCAUAUAGCUGGUUUUUCUUCAAAAGCAUCAAAGUGCUGCCUUAUAGCUAUAAACGCCAUAUCGCUAAUGCUAUAAAGGUUAGCUUACUGAGGACAAGCUCAGUAAGAAUACAAAAAUAUUCUACUGUCUCAACUUUCCAAGUAGGCUUAAAAGCAGCCACCUUAUAACGUUCUAGUUAUAACACCCAAAUAUCCAAUAUUUAUAUACACUAUUUUAACUUUAAAGAAAUUUAUCGUAAAACACCACACGACAGUAAACAGGCAUUCUAUUAGUAUUAAUACAAUCCACUUCUCACAACUCUAAAAGAACUUGAAACAACAACACUUUUACUUAACAAACCUAUACAAAGCGAACUCGGCAAAUAAAUUCCCUGCCUGUUUACCAAAAACAUCGUCUUUUGAACUACCCCUGAUAAAAGAUAAUGCCUGCCCAGUGAAAUUUUAAACGGCCGCGUUAGCGUGAGCGUGCUAAGGUAGCGUAAUAAUUAGCCUUUUAAUUGGAGGCCAGUGAAUGGCAAGACUAGGAAUAGCUGUACUUUGUAUACAAAAAAAACUUUUCGUCUAAGUGAAAAGACUUAGAUAACAAAGGAAGACGAAAAGACCCCGCGGAACUUUACCUCUUCUCAUACUUCCGCCUAUCCGCUUGAAAGUAUACGAGGUUUGAUUGGGGCAAUCUUGGAACCAGUAAAACUUCCAAUUUUUUCUAAAAAACAUCCAAAAUUUACUAAGGACCGAAAAGUAGUUACCCCGGGGAUAACAGCGUAAUCCAACUCAAGAGUACACAUCGAAAGUUGGGUUUGCGACCUCGAUGUUGGCUUAAGGAUAUCCACAUAAGUGCAACCGCUAUGAUAGGAUAGUCUGUUCGACUACUAUACCCUUACACGAGCUGAGUUAAGACCGGCGCAAGCUAGGUUGGUUUCUAUCUCCUUAUUAAUAAACCUUUUCUUGAUUGUACGAAAGGACCCCAAGAAAUGCAUUUCACGAAAGCACCACUAAACACCCAUUGAAUUUGACCUUAACCACUAA
rnacentral:rRNA from 1 species